GCCACAAUUGUGGCAAACGGAAUUUCCCAGGCUAGGGGUCCAAUUAGAGCUACAGCUGCCAGCCUAUGCCACAGCCACAGUAAUGCAGGAUCUGAGCUGUGUCUGCAACCUACACCACAGCGCAAAGCAAUACUGGAUCCUCAACCACUGAGCAAGGCCAGGGAUCAAACCCACAUCCUCAUGGAUCCUAGUCGGGUUUGUUAACUGCUGAGCCCCAAAGGGAACUCCUAUCCAAGAUUCUUGAGUUGAUAUAAGUGGUAGCUUAGUUAAGUUAGCAAAAUUGAUUUGUCAGGCCACUGGGACUCACGUGAUGCCAAACAAUGACUGAGAACCAGAAACUGUGGUGAUCAAGGACUAUUCCAUGAGUACAAGACAAUAAUUAUUCCAUUGUCGCUGAAAAUCAUGGUGUUUACCACUGCUCCAUACAUCUGUCAAUGAUGAGUGACUAAAAGCAUCCUACAUACAUAUUCAUGAAGCCUUUUUCCUAAGCCUCUCAACUAAGGGAAGUAUUAUUUUCAUCAUCCACCAAGACAAAUAAUAAAAAAGACAACAAGAACAAAAAAUACGUAAAUAAAACAAUGGCACUCUAAAAUGUCUUUGCUAGUGAUAGGCCUGAAACAUGUUCAAGAUUCUUGGUUUUGUUCACCUAACAAAUAUUUAUUGAGUGCUUGUUGUAUACCGCAUACCAUGUCAGCCUUUGUUAGUGAACAAUGCUCUCUUCCCGGAACUAACAACUUAGAGCCUAUGAAAACAUUCAGCCUGCAUGUGUCUCAAAAUACUCCUGCCACCUUGCCAAUUAUGGGCUUAUCAUUUAGGCUGUUUAGUUUAGUUCAGCCUCACAGUUUCUGACUACAUCUGUACAGAUGCAGUAAUUAGUUCAUAUUUCUAUAGCCCGCAUGAGGAAAAGACAUGAAUAUUAAUAGAGCCUUGAUCCCUAAUUUCAGAUGGUUUUACUGUGGGACUUCUGAACCCAGGGAAGUGAUACCUGAAAAGAAAGAACACAAGGUCAGGGUGAGAAAAUCCAUCAAUAGAAGAAUGAGAGGGAACUUAUGUAUUUUAGAGGCAAUCUUCUACAUGCUGCUCAGAAAAGCUUCCUCAAGAUACUAUUCUGUUUAAAGCACUGAAUUGAUUUCCUCCUGACCUUUGGUUUAACUCCACAUUCCUUUAUGUAACUCUAAAGACUCAGCUUAUCUCAUGGGCAGCCUUGAUUUUCAUCUCUGUGCCAGUUUUACAGUGUUCACGCGUCCUGAAAUUUUCUUCCUAGUCUCCUAACUUGGGUAAUUCCUUCUCAACUUCAGGACUUAGAGGAGUCAUUUCUUCUAGAAAACACUCCAUGAUCCCUUCCCCACCAGAGAAUGGGUUAGACACCUUUCUUUCUCUGUUGCUAAAGAAUUCUGUAUUCCUUCCACCCUAGCAUCACACUCUAAUAAUUGCCUUCUGAUGUGUAUAUAGUAGGAGGUCCUUAUAAUUUAUUGUCUAAACCAGAACACUAUUGAAAUAAAAAUAGGGUUAAAAAUAACUACAACUCUAUGUAUUUCAAAAUUAAGUACUUACUAGCUGACAAAUGGAUACAAAUCCUAUAAAAGUAUUUUAAAAGCAAAAGCAAAAUAUUUCUUUAAAAAAGUAGCAGGAGUUUCCAUCAUGGCUCAGUGGUUAACUAACCCAACUAGUAUUCAUGAGAACAUGGGUUUGAUCCCUGGCCUUGCUCAAAUGGUUAAGGAUCCAGCAUUGCUGUGAGCCGUGGUGUAGGUUGCAGACACAGCUCAGAUCCCACAUUGCUGUGGCUGUGGUGUAGGCCAGCAGCUACAGCUCCGAUUCUACCUCUAGCCUGGAAACCUCCAUGUGCUGCCAGGGUGUGCCCCUAAAAAAAAUAAAUAAAUAAAAAUUAAAAAUAAAUUAAAAAACAACAUAUUUAUAUUCAUUAAAGCAAAAAAAACUGUAUUAAUUAUCUUAACACUCAAAUGUAGAAUGAUUAUUCUUGUUAUAUGUUCAUGUAUUCCAAACAGCUUCUUAGUUGUAUAUGUCACGCUACGUCAUGUUGUUUUACUUGUGGAGAAUGUAUUUUUGAAAUAUAGUUGUGUUGUUUUCAGUUUUUUUCAUAAAGUUGCCUGCAGUCUUCAAAACUGUAUUUUAUGUUAACAAAUUUGAAAUUGUCGAAGUUUUUAACUGACCUGACUCUAUAAAACAUGGUAUUUUUUGUUGAGAAAAUACUCUCCCCUUACCAAAAAGCCUGGCAGUCUUAAGAAAUGUUUGCAUAUUCUCAAUUUAAAUGCUUCCUUUGACGUUGAAAUGUUUAAUAUUUUAGUCCAAAUGUUUUAAAAGUCCUAUCUUUUUACUUUUAUUUAGAGUACUUUUCUUCAACAGAUGCUUUUAUUAGACAAAAGUCAUCACAGAAUGAAUUUCAUUGGCGUUCCUAUUGUGGCACAGUGGGUUAAGGAUCUGGCAUUGCCAAAGCUGGAACAUAGGUCACAGCUGCAGCCCAGGUGCUAUCCCUGGCCCAAGAACUUCCAUAUGUCAUGGGUAUGGCCAAAAAAAAAAA
rnacentral:lncRNA from 1 species